UACGUAGGUGGUGAGCGUUGUCCGGAUUUACUGGGCGUAAAGGGAGCGUAGGCGGACUUUUAAGUGAGAUGUGAAAUACCCGGGCUCAACUUGGGUGCUGCAUUUCAAACUGGAAGUCUAGAGUGCAGGAGAGGAGAAUGGAAUUCCUAGUGUAGCGGUGAAAUGCGUAGAGAUUAGGAAGAACACCAGUGGCGAAGGCGAUUCUCUGGACUGUAACUGACACUGAGGCGCGAAAGCGUGGGGAGCAAACAGGAUUAGAUACCCU
rnacentral:rRNA from 1 species